UACGGAGGAUCCGAGCGUUAUCCGGAUUUAUUGGGUUUAAAGGGUGCGUAGGCGGUUUGAUAAGUUAGAGGUGAAAUGUCGGGGCUCAACCCCGAAACUGCCUCUAAUACUGUUGGACUAGAGAAUAGUUGCGGUAGGCGGAAUGUAUGGUGUAGCGGUGAAAUGCUUAGAGAUCAUACAGAACCCCGAUUGCGAAGGCAGCUUACCAAACUAUAUCUGACGUUGAGGCACGAAAGCGUGGGUAGCAAACAGG
rnacentral:rRNA from 1 species